CACCUUUAACACUAUACAGUUCCAGCAGUUGUAUAUGUUCAUUCAUAAUCCCUUUUCCGGUUUAACAAUGAAAUUUGCAAUCCGUCAUCUCUUCCAUCACUCUUGGUACAGUAUUGGUAUUGUAUACGCAUACAUUUGUCUAAGUAAUGUAACUAAUUCAUUGGUUGUGCUACUGGGCCAUAUAUUUCUCUGGCAAUACCUUAUCAAGCUAAAGUGGUUUGUGGGGCUGGGAACACACAGGGAAGCACCACAACAAAGAUGGGCAUUCUAUCAUUUGGACUGGUUGGCAUGACAGAAAUAAGGGAUCCAGUGACCUGAAAUCACUGAAUCAACAGAGAGAACCGAGCAGUCCAAAGGAGAAAACUGGCGAGGAGGGGAAAGACCAGGUAGCGGAAAAGUGAUGGAUGCCCCUUUCAUUGCCAUGAAACAGAGAUUGAAGCAGCUGCUGCGUAUUUGUUUGCUUUCCUCUUUGUAUUUAUAUAGUGGUGGCUGAGGGAAGCCAGCCAUCAAUCUGUAAACUUGUCAAUUUUCAGCAGCGGGUUCUGUUCACCCCUAGACGGUUAGAAUGUAAAGCAUAUUAGUUCUUUGUUUAGUGGUCAUUUGUUUACAAUAAUGACGUUUAAAAUCAGUUUUGGCCUCUGUUAAUGAUAUCAUCGUCAUUAUCAGCAAGUAGGAACAUUCUUUCUUUGUUUAUUGGAUUCAGAAAACCGAAUAAGAAUAACUGUAAUUCCCGGCUCUCCUCCAUUAACGGGUCGGAGCCGGAGAUGAUGAAGCCAUUUCUGUCUCAUCUGCCUCGACUACAUUCUCUGUAUGCACUGCCUCGACUACGUUCUCUGUAUUCUCUCUAAACUUUUUGUAUAUGUCACUUUUGUAGAAUUUAAGCGUUCUCAUCAGCAAAAUAAGUGACGCGAGAGCUGAAAUAAGUGUUGUUGCAGUCAAAACUGUAAACGACAACUUAUAACAUCGAGUGCCAAUACAUGUUAGAUCCUGGCCCUUGAUCCUGUGCAGACCCAGCCUAGCAAGCUCCUUCUCUGCCUCUGUCAUAGAGCAUUCCGGUGACCCUCACAUUGAGUAGAUAACUCCCGAGGGGACUCGCCAAAUGUCCACAAUUGAAGAGGGUGGAGUAGUACUUCAACCCGAAAACUUCAGAAAUGAUUGCCAAAGCCAGUGGUAACUGAGCUCCGAGAGUAAACCCGACGAUGACUGAAGCAAUGUACAGGGAACCAGGGAAUGCAAAAGCAAUGAGAAGGUAGGCAAUGCCUUCUAGUGUAAGAACAACAGUGAGCAUAAGGGGUCUUGGGAUUUUAUACCUCGUCAGUAGGAUUUCGGAGACGAAACCGGAAAAGAUUCGGCCGAAGAAGUUCCAUAUGCUGAUGAGUGACACAAAUGUGUUUAUGGUCUGAGGUUUGUAACCCAAAGCUUCGCCAAUUUGGCCGAGGUUGUCGGUAGCAGUGAAGCUCGAUCCGAGUCCAAAUAAUGUUGCAAUGAAUAUGAGUAGCAUGUCAAUGCUCAAGAUUGCUUGUAAAAUGGUGUAGUCUUCUCCUCUUGGUGGUUUCUUGAAAAUGUUUGAGAACAACGACGUACCUUUCGGCUU
rnacentral:sRNA from 1 species